GGGUUGGUAGGAAAAAUGUUUUAUUCUAUUAAAUUGCAAAUUUAAUGUUGUGAACUUACCUUCACCCAGCCCU
rnacentral:tRNA from 1 species